ensembl:lncRNA
GGCGUCACCGCAGUUUUGGGUCGCCGGACCAUCGACAAACUGGACGCUUCAUCUUUGCACUCCACUCCUGUCACGGGGUCCCGUGGGGGACGAGGCCACGCGGUACCUGUUGGUCCACGAUGCGGCCAACGCGGUAGAAACUAUCUAAGAUCAGCACUUUCAAGAGAGACCAAAGACGACGACGCCGCCGCCGCCGCGCACGGGCGUCUCAGAGCUGCCCGCCGAUGCUCUGUGGUGCUUAACGGAAAACAGCUGCCGGACAAACAGGGAUCAGAGUUCUCCCGCAAAGCGCAGAGCAGCGAGCGAUGAGGAAGAAGGAAAAGAGUUCCCCGUCCAAUCAGAGACGCAGAUGGCCACGGAAGACGUGAGCACCAGCCCAUCCGGCGCCGGGGCGACUUCCGCCUGCCAAUUCGUGCACAGCGAAUCAAAUGCGAGCCCGUGAUUGAACAGCGGACGCAGUUUAACCUGGACACCCGUAUCUGACCGCGCUGAUUCUACUCUGAGGAAUCACUAAAUCCUGACCAAAUCACGCCAACACGUCCUCGC